rnacentral:rRNA from 1 species
UACGAAGGGUGCAAGCGUUACUCGGAAUUACUGGGCGUAAAGCGUGCGUAGGCGGCUUGUUAAGUCUUGCGUGAAAUCUCGGGGCUCAACCCCGAGCGGUCGUGAGAAACUGGCAGGCUAGAGUGCGGGAGAGGAGAGUGGAAUUCCUGGUGUAGCGGUGAAAUGCGCAGAUAUCAGGAAGAACACCCGUGGCGAAGGCGGCUCUCUGGAACGCAACUGACGCUGAGACGCGAAAGCGUGGGGAGCAAACAGG